GACGAACGCUGGCGGCGUGCUUAACACAUGCCAGUCGAACGGAAAGGCCCUGCUUGCAGGGUACUCGAGUGGCGAACGGGUGAGUAACACGUGGGUGAUCUGCCCUGCACUUCGGGAUAAGCCUGGGAAACUGGGUCUAAUACCGGAUAGGAGCCAUUUUUAGUGUGAUGGUUGGAAAGUUUUUUCGGUGUAGGAUGAGCUCGCGGCCUAUCAGCUUGUUGGUGGGGUAAUGGCCUACCAAGGCGGCGACGGGUAGCCGGCCUGAGAGGGUGGACGGCCACAGUGGGACUGAGAUACGGCCCAGACGCCUACGGGAGGCAGCAGUGGGGAAUAUUGCACAAUGGGCGCAAGCCGGAUGCAGCGACGCCGCGUGGGGGAGGACGGCCUUCGGGUUGUAAACUCCGUUCGCUAGGGACGAAGCUUUUUGUGACGGUACCUAGAUAAGAAGCACCGGCUAACUACGUG
rnacentral:rRNA from 1 species